GGGACUGUUAGGUUUCGACAUGUUAAUUUUACUUCUUAGAGUUAUAGAAAAUGCUGUAUGUUUAUGAUGAUUUCAUCAUGACUAAAAAACAAGUGCAAAAAAUCAUAUAAUACCUUUUUCUCGAAAACUAGUUGUUGUUUAAUAUAUAACAUUACAACGCAACAAUAGUUAUAUUUUGAGAAUCAGAUGCUUAAUCUGUGUUAACAUCUGGUUAUUAUUAAUUACAGUGCUCCUAACUUAUAUAUUUUUCAGAUUUAAGUUAACCUAGGUCAAGUAAAAAAAUGUGAAUAUUUUUCUUUGGCUAUUCUUUAUCUAUUUUGUUAUAGAUCUCUAGCAAGAUAAUUAGCAUGGACGUGGGUUCGAAUCCCACCAGUUCCA
rnacentral:tmRNA from 1 species